rnacentral:rRNA from 1 species
UUCGGGGCAGAGAGACAGGUGGUGCAUGGUUGUCGUCAGCUCGUGUCGUGAGAUGUUGGGUUAAGUCCCGCAACGAGCGCAACCCUUAUCAUUAGUUGCCAGCACGUAAGGUGGGAACUCUAAUGAGACUGCCGGGGAUAACUCGGAGGAAGGUGGGGACGACGUCAAAUCAUCAUGCCCCUUAUGUCUUGGGCUACACACGUGCUACAAUGGCCGGUACAAAGGGCUGCGAAGCCGUAAGGUGGAGCGAAUCCCAUAAAGCCGGUCUCAGUUCGGAUCGUGGGCUGCAACCCGCCCACGUGAAGCCGGAGUUGCUAGUAAUCGCGAAUCAGCAUGUCGCGGUGAAUGCGUUCCCGGGUCUUGUACACACCGCCCGUCACACCAUGGGAGUUGGGAGCGCCCGAAGCCAGUGAGCUAACCAGAAUGGAGGCAGCUGUCGAAGGUGAGACCAAUGACUGGGGUGAAGUCGUAACAAGGUAGCCGUAUCGGAAGGUGCGGCUGGAUCACCUCCUUUAUG